rnacentral:rRNA from 1 species
CCAGACUCCUACGGGAGGCAGCAGUAGGGAAUAUUGCUCAAUGGGGGAAACCCUGAAGCAGCAACGCCGCGUGGAGGAUGAAGGUUUUCGGAUUGUAAACUCCUUUUGUUAGAGAAGAUAAUGACGGUAUCUAACGAAUAAGCACCGGCUAACUCCGUGCCAGCAGCCGCGGUAAUACGGAGGGUGCAAGCGUUACUCGGAAUCACUGGGCGUAAAGAGCGCGUAGGCGGGAUAGCAAGUCAGAUGUGAAAUCCUAUGGCUUAACCAUAGAACUGCAUUUGAAACUGUUAUUCUAGAGUAUGGGAGAGGUAGGUGGAAUUCUUGGUGUAGGGGUAAAAUCCGUAGAGAUCAAGAGGAAUACUCAUUGCGAAGGCGACCUGCUAGAACAUAACUGACGCUGAUGCGCGAAAGCGUGGGGAGCAAACAGGAUUAGAUACCCCAGUA